rnacentral:rRNA from 1 species
UACAGAGGAUGCAAGCGUUAUCCGGAAUGAUUGGGCGUAAAGCGUCUGUAGGCGGCUUUUUAAGUCCGCCGUCAAAUCCCAGGGCUCAACUCUGGACAGGCGGUGGAAACUACCAAGCUGGAGUACGGUAGGGGCAGAGGGAAUUUCCGGUGGAGCGGUGAAAUGCGUAGAGAUCGGAAAGAACACCAGCGGCGAAACCGCUCUGCUGGGCCGACACUGACACUGAGAGACGAAAGCUAGGGGAGCGAAUGGG